UGACAAAAAGCCAAAUCAUAAUUGCAUUGACGAGGAAUUAAACUUUUUACACUUUUAUUUUUUUAUCUUUUUAUUUUUUAUUUGUAGAAAUUUAGUUUUUCUCUUUAUGAGUUUUAUAAUAAUUUGACCAUCAUACCAAGCUUCUUGAAGUAGGUAGAGUAAUUCUAUUGAUGUUGUUGUGUGGGACACAAGUCCAAAGCUAUUGGCCACCAAAUCCAUUGAAAGACCAUUGACUUGCCUUGUAGUAUGGAGUCAUCACAUGCAACCGAAUUUUACAUGUGUUUGCAUUACAUUAAUACAUCUAAAACUUUCUUUUUUAUUUAAAUUAUAUAUAUAUAUAUAUAUAUAUAUGCAUGCAACCCAAUAUUAUGGUGAGUAUUAAUGACUUUGUUUAUAAUUUGAAUGAUUUGUGUUGAAUGUGAAAUUUGUUGAUAGGAAUAUCUAAUAUCCUAUUUUCUUUUCCCUUCAAUGAUUUUGAUCCCAAUGGGAGCAAUAUUGUUUGUGAUUUGACUCCUUUUCUAUAAAAUUUUUGCAAAAGUAGCUGACAUAGUAAAAAGAAGGAGGAGGCCUUAGUAUGAGUUUGGAGGUUGUAUUAUUUGUAUGCACACCACCUCCAUGAAAAUAAAACAAAAAAUAUAAACCAGAAAAUAGAUAAAAUGUAAUAAAUAAAAGAAAAUAAAGACAAAUCCCAAAUUCUUAAAUAAGAUUUUAUUUUUUUUAUUUUUAGUAGAGACUUGCAAGUUAUAAAUAAAAAAAUAUUUUGUAAAGUAUAAUAAUAGAAUUUUAUUUUACAAACUAUUACAAUUAUUAGAAUUG
rnacentral:lncRNA from 1 species